AAACCAUGGUGUGGACAAAGUCUCAUCAUGUCUUUGUAUCUUUUUCCCAUGCUUCGAAAAGAGACUCGUUAUCUUUCUGUUUAAAUCCAUUUAUCUGGGCUCUCAACAU